GUUCCAGACUCCUACGGGAGGCAGCAGUGAGGAAUAUUGGUCAAUGGCCGAGAGGCUGAACCAGCCAAGUCGCGUGAGGGAAGAAUGUCCUAUGGAUUGUAAACCUCUUUUGUCAGGGAGCAAAGUCACCCACGUGUGGGUGUUGGAGAGUACCUGAAGAAAAAGCAUCGGCUAACUCCGUGCCAGCAGCCGCGGUAAUACGGAGGAUGCGAGCGUUAUCCGGAUUUAUUGGGUUUAAAGGGUGCGCAGGCGGAGGUGCAAGUCAGCGGUCAAAUUGCGGGGCUCAACCCCGUACUGCCGUUGAAACUGCAUCCCUUGAGUGCGCGAGAAGUAUGCGGAAUGCGUGGUGUAGCGGUGAAAUGCUUAGAUAUCACGAAGAACUCCGAUUGCGAAGGCAGCCUACUAAACUGCCACUGACAUUGAUGCUCGAAAGUGUGGGUAUCAAACAGGAUUAGAUACCCUCGUA
rnacentral:rRNA from 1 species